ACCUGGGUGGCUCAGUCGGUUAAGCGUCUGACUUUGGCUCAGGUCAUGAUCUCUCAGUUUGUGGGUUCGAGCCCCACGUCAGGCU
rnacentral:tRNA from 1 species